CGCCUCCGCCGGAGGCCCCGCCCCCCGGCCGCCCCGCCCGUCGGCGCAGGCCCCAGCUUCUUCCAUCGCGGUUCUACUAGAUAAGUCCCUUUAGGACAGCCAGACUGGGUGUUAACUCUCAACGUGCUCUCUAGGCCUACGUGUUCUAUGAGACGCUGCAGCUGCCAGGGGAGCUGUGGGGCCCGUGGGAGCCUGAGCCACACGCUUGGGACACCAGGUGAAGGCUGAUGAACCUAGAAGAGUAAUAAACAUCCCUUUGGAGACUUACUCCUAGGAGAGGAGAAACUGAGGGGAGCACCAAAUGAUCUACAGAAGAGGAAUUUUGAUCUCUGGACAUGUCCAAUGGCAGAGCUCUAACAGAAGAAAGCGUGACAGUAUCUGAAGGAGAGAUGAGUGUCUGCUUCAUUGUUUCUGUCAACACCUCUGAUGUUAGCAUACAUACAACAGAUUGACGCAGAAAGUCGGUAACAUUGCUUAAAGUGGGAAAAUUAAGCAAGGAGAUAAUUUUUAAAGCAUUGAUAAAAUUAGCUAGAGGUUCUCUAAGUGUGGCUUUGGGUCCAGCAGCAUCAGCAUCACCUGGAAAUUUGUUAAUAAUUCAAAAUCUUGAGCUCUGGAAGUGGGGCCCAGCGAUCCAUGUUUUAUUUAACAAGCCCUUCCUAUAAUACUGACGAAUGCUAAAGUUUGAGAACCACUGUGUGGUAGGCUGAAAAUGGUACCCCAAAAGAUAUUCACAACUUAAUCCCUGGAACCUCUAAACAUUACCUUAUUUGGCAAAAGAGUCUUUGCAAAUGUGAUGAACAAUCUUGAGACAAGAGAUUAUCCUGGAUUAUCUGAAUAGAUCCUGAAUGUCAUCAUAAAUAUCCUUAUAAGAGAGAGACAGAAGGAGAUUACACACAUAGAAAAGGAAGAAACAAUGUAAUCGCAGUGGCAGUGUCUGGGUUGAUGCAGCCAUAAGCCAAGGGAUUCUGGCAGCCACCAGAAGCUGGAAAAGGAAAUGAAUGGAUUCUCCCAUGGAGCAAGUGGAAGGAACACAGGGGGCCUUGCUGACAUCUGAUUUCAGCCCAGUGAAUCUGAUUUCAAAUUUCUGGUCUCUAGAACUGUGAGAAAAUAAAUUUUUGUUCUUUUAA